rnacentral:rRNA from 1 species
UACGUAGGGGCGAGCGUUGUCCGGAAUUACUGGGCGUAAAGGGUGCGUAGGCGGCCGAUUAAGUUGGAUGUGAAAUCCCCGUGCUCAACAUGGGAGGUGCAUUCAAAACUGGUUGGCUAGAGUACAGGAGAGGGAAGCGGAAUUCCUAGUGUAGCGGUGAGAUGCGUAGAUAUUAGGAGGAACACCAGUGGCGAAGGCGGCUUUCUGGACUGACACUGACGCUGAGGCACGAAAGCGUGGGGAGCAAACAGGAUUAGAUACCCUGGUA